rnacentral:rRNA from 1 species
GAUGAACGCUGGCGGCGUGCUUAACACAUGCAAGUCGAACGGGAAUUAUUUUAUUGAAACUUCGGUCGAUUUAAUUUAAUUCUAGUGGCGGACGGGUGAGUAACGCGUGGGUAACCUGCCUUAUACAGGGGGAUAACAGUCAGAAAUGGCUGCUAAUACCGCAUAAGCGCACAGAGCUGCAUGGCUCAGUGUGAAAAACUCCGGUGGUAUAAGAUGGACCCGCGUUGGAUUAGCUGGUUGGUGGGGUAACGGCCCACCAAGGCGACGAUCCAUAGCCGGCCUGGGAGGGUGAACGGCCACAUUGGGACUGAGACACGGCCCAGACUCCUACGGGGGGCAGCAGUGGGGAAUAUUGCACAAUGGGGGAAACCCUGAUGCAGCGACGCCGCGUGAAGGAAGAAGUAUCUCGGUAUGUAAACUUCUAUCAGCAGGGAAGAUAGUGACGGUACCUGACGAAGAAGCCCCGGCUAACUACGUG